GGAGACGCGCGCGUGCGCAUGCGCUGCAGGACGGAGAUGAGCCGCACGCACCAGGUGGCGGGAAAAAGAGCUGCCAGGAGGAAUGAGGGACAAACGCAGAACACACAACAAAGAGCUUCCUGCAUAAACCUGACAGACAGAGGAGAUGCCGGGGUCAGAGGUCGGGACACAGAGAGAGAGAGGCGGGGCGGACGGUGGACACACAGUCUGAUCUGAUAUUGGUUAGUGGGCACACCCGGCUUGGUUUGCUGCUGCCCUCACCUGCGCUACUGCUCCCC